GACGAACGCUGGCGGCGUGCUUAACACAUGCAAGUCGAACGGAAAGGCCCUGCUUUUGUGGGGUGCUCGAGUGGCGAACGGGUGAGUAACACGUGAGUAACCUGCCCUUGACUUUGGGAUAACUUCAGGAAACUGGGGCUAAUACCGGAUAGGAGCUCCUGCUGCAUGGUGGGGGUUGGAAAGUUUCGGCGGUUGGGGAUGGACUCGCGGCUUAUCAGCUUGUUGGUGGGGUAGUGGCUUACCAAGGCUUUGACGGGUAGCCGGCCUGAGAGGGUGACCGGCCACAUUGGGACUGAGAUACGGCCCAGACUCCUACGGGAGGCAGCAGUGGGGAAUAUUGCACAAUGGGCGGAAGCCUGAUGCAGCAACGCCGCGUGCGGGAUGACGGCCUUCGGGUCGUAAACCGCUUUCGCCUGUGACGAAGCGUGAGUGACGGUAAUAGGUAAAGAAGCACCGGCUAACUACGUG
rnacentral:rRNA from 1 species